CACUCAGCCGAGUUUUCAGCUGGUCCACCUCUUUGCUCAGGUGUUCCAACUCCACUCGGCACACCUUGGAGCUCCAACUAGGGAAAGAGUGGAACAUGUAUUGAGAAUUCUUACAAACUCUCUUGGGUGUAACUUUUGACCCACCUCUCCUUCGAAAAGGUACAACUGCAGAAACGACCAAGGUUCAGUGCAACAAUUCGGAGUUCGACGAAAAAGGCUCUGGAAAGAAAAUAUGCCUGUAAACUUAAGUUCAAACCAUUGUCAUGCAUGACAUCCAAAAUGUCAUUUCAUGUGGCUCACCAAAGCAAAAUGGCCCUCGAAACGGAAACCAUAACUAUGAAGUGGCCACUGAUGAAAUCAAUUUGAACACCUCUGAUCGAAAGAAUAACUCCACAAGUGUGUUUUGCUUUUUUCCUUCACUUUUUUGGUGUGAUGCCAUCAUAGAAUUGUAUCAGUAAUGGAGAAAGAGGAACUUUUAAUAAUUGUGACAUGUUCAAUGGCUGAGACUGGAUGGAGGCCAAGUCCGCCCACUGCACGCCGGGACCGACUGGAAGAAGCUGCCGUGCACCAGGUGAUGGAGAGCAAAUGGGAUGGCUGUCAAAAUCUGAAAUGGGAAUCUUCUCCCUGCAAGGGAAGAACUCUGAAGAGGAGGAGACGUAUUGUUGAAAGCUCACCACCAAUCAUGACUGCACUCUGCUAUGCAGGGAUUUCCCCCCCUUAUCUUUUUACGCAUAUACAGGAACUUUCACCCACCUUCUUCCCUUUUGCUUGAGUUCCCCAGUAAGGACAGUCGCCCCUGGGGACACAGAACAUGUCAAUAUUAAAAAGGGGAUUUCAGGGAUUUGACAUCCUCUCCAAGGUCAAAUUCAUGCAAUUUUAGGUGCGUGACUUAUUUAGACUAAAUUGUCAAUUCAUUCAUCCACCAAUCCAUCCUCUAUACUGCUUAUCCUCACUAGCGUCGCGGGUGUGCUGAAGCCUAUCCCAGCUGACUUUGGGCGAGAGGCGGGGUACACCCUGAACUGAUUGCCAGCCAAACACAGGGCACAUAUACACAAUCAUUCACACCUACAGAUAAUAUAGUCUUCAAUUAACCGAGCAAGUAUGUUUUGGAAUGUGUGAGGAAACUGGAGUAACCGGAGAAAACCCACACAGGCACGGGGACAACAUGUCACCGAUUUAGAAUCAUGCCUUUUUUUUGUUUUUUUUUAAGAAAUUGUAUUGUGCUACAAACAAUCAAAACAAUGUUUUAGAUUAUUACAAAUUGUGUUGUUGUGAUAAAGAUAAUAAUGAUGAUUAUUAGGAUAAAUAGAUCAGACGGACUAAAAGUACUUAUUCUGUCUGAAACUUCUUCUGCUUGGAUUAAUAAAUGUACAGUAAUUAGCAUACACAAUAAAAAAAUUUUUUUUUUUUAAAUAAU